AUUGAACGCUGGCGGCAGGCCUAACACAUGCAAGUCGAACGAGUGGCGGACGGGAGAGUAAUGUAUGGGAAACUGCCCGAUGGAGGGGGAUAACUACUGGAAACGGUAGCUAAUACCGCAUACCAUCGGAUGUGCCCAUAGGGGAUUAGCUAGUAGGUGGGGUAACGGCGCACCUAGGCGACGAUCCCUAGCUGGUCUGAGAGGAUGACCAGGCACACUGGAACUGAGAAACGGUCCAGGCUCCUGCGGGAGGCAGCAGUGGGGAAUAUUGCACAAUGGGAGCAAGCCUGAUGCAGCCAUGCCGCGUGUAUGAUGAAGGCCUUCGGGUUGUAAAGUACUUUCGGCGGGGAGGCGUUACUCGCAGAAGAAGCGCCGGCUAACUCCGUGCCAGCAGCCGCGGUAAUAC
rnacentral:rRNA from 1 species